GACCCGUUAGCUCAGUCGGUAGAGCACUUGACUUUUAAUCAAGGUGUCCGGGGUUCGAAUCCCCGACGGGUCACCA
rnacentral:tRNA from 1 species